rnacentral:rRNA from 1 species
CAUGCAAGUCGAGCGGACAGAUGGGAGACUCUGCGUCCCUGAUGUUGGCGGCGGACGGGUGAGUAACACGUGGGUAACCUGCCUGUAAGACUGGGAUAACUCCGGGAAACCGGGGCUAAUACCGGAUGCUUGAUUGAACCGCAGGGUUCAAUUAAAAAAGGUGGCUUUUACCUACCACUUACAGAUGGACCCACGGCGCAUUAGCUAGUUGGUGAGGUAACGGCUCACCAAGGCAACGAUGCGUAGCCGACCUGAAAGGGUGAUCGGCCACACUGGGACUGAGACACAGCCCAGACUCCUACGGGAGGCAGCAAUAGGGAAUCUUCCGCAAUGGACGAAAGUCUGACGGAGCAACGCCUCGUGAGUGAUGAAGGUUUUCGGAUCGUAAAACUCUGUUGUUAGGGAAGAACAAGUACCGUUCGAAUAGGGCGGUACCUUGACGGUACCUAACCAGAAAGCCACGGCUAACUACGUGCCAGCAGCCGCGGUAAUACGUAGGUGGCAAGCGUUGUCCGGAAUUAUUGGGCGUAAAGCGCGCGCAUGCGGUUUCUUAAGUCUGAUGUGAAACCCCCCGGCUCAACCGGGGAGGGUCAUUGGAAACUGGGGAACUUGAGUGCAUAACAGGAUAGUGGAAUUCCACGUGUAGCGGUGAAAUGCGUAGAGAUGUGGAGGAACACCAGUGGCGAACGCGACUCUCUGGUCUGUAACUGACGCUGAGCGCGAAAGCGUGGGGAGCGAACAGGAUUAGAUACCCUGGUAGUCCACGCCGUAACGAUGAGUGCUAAGUGUUAGAGGGUUUCCGCCCUUUAGUGCUGCAGCAACGUCAUUCAGCACUCGACUGGGGAGUACGGUCGCAAGACUGAACUCUACGGAUUGACGGGGCCCCGCACAA